GAUGAACGCUGGCGGCGUGCCUAAUACAUGCAAGUCGAGCGAACGGACGAGAAGCUUGCUUCUCUGAUGUUAGCGGCGGACGGGUGAGUAAAACGUGGAUAAACUACCUAUAAAACUGGGAUAAAUUCGGGAAACCGGAGCUAAUACCGGAUAAUAUUUUGAACCGCAUGGUUCAAAAGUGAAAGACGGUCUUGCUGUCACUUAUAGAUGGAUCCGCGCUGCAUUAGCGAGUUGGUAAGGUAACGGCGUAACAAGGCUACGAUGCAUAGCCGACCUGAGAGGGUGAGCUGCCACACUGGAACUGAGACGCGGUCCAGACUCCUACGGGAGGCAGCAGUAGCGAAUCUUCCGCAAUGGGCGAAAUCCUGACUGAUCAACGCCGCGUGAGUGAUUAAGGUCUUCGGAUCGUAAAACUCUGUUAUUAGGGAAGAACAUAUGUGUAAGUAACUGUGCACAUCUUGACGGUACCUAAUCAGAAAGCCACGGCUAACUACGUG
rnacentral:rRNA from 1 species